UAGGGAAUCUUCCACAAUGGGCGCAAGCCUGAUGGAGCAACACCGCGUGAGUGAAGAAGGGUUUCGGCUCGUAAAGCUCUGUUGUUAAAGAAGAACACGUAUGAGAGUAACUGUUCAUACGUUGACGGUAUUUAACCAGAAAGUCACGGCUAACUACGGGCCAG
rnacentral:rRNA from 1 species